rnacentral:rRNA from 1 species
AUUGAACGCUGGCGGCAUGCUUUACACAUGCAAGUCGAACGGUAACAGGGUGCUUGCACCGCUGACGAGUGGCGAACGGGUGAGUAAUGCGUCGGAACGUGCCGAGUAGUGGGGGAUAACGCAGCGAAAGUUGUGCUAAUACCGCAUACGUACUGAGGUAGAAAGUGGGGGACCUUCGGGCCUCACGCUAUUCGAGCGGCCGACGGCUGAUUAGCUAGUAGGUGAGGUAAAAGCUUACCAAGCCGACGAUCUGUGGCUGGUCUGAGAGGACGAUCAGCCACACUGGGACUGAGACACGGCCCAGACUCCUACGGGAGGCAGCAGUGGGGAAUUUUGGACAAUGGGCGCAAGCCUGAUCCAGCAAUGCCGCGUGCAGGAUGAAGGCCUUCGGGUUGUAAACUGCUUUUGUGCGGAACGAGAAGCCCUGGGUUAAUACCCUGGGGUCAUGACGGUACCGUAAGAAUAAGCACCGGCUAAUUACGUGCCAGCCGCCGCGGUAACAC